rnacentral:rRNA from 1 species
AUUGAACGCUGGCGGCAGGCCUAACACAUGCAAGUCGAGCGGGGUUUUCGGACCUAGCGGCGGACGGGUGAGUAAUGCGUAGGAAGCUACCCGAUAGAGGGGGAUACCAGUUGGAAACGACUGUUAAUACCGCAUAAUGUCUACGGACCAAAGUGUGGGACCUUCGGGCCACAUGCUAUCGGAUGUGCCUACGUGGGAUUAGCUAGUUGGUGAGGUAAUGGCUCACCAAGGCGACGAUUCCUAGCUGGUUUGAGAGGAUGAUCAGCCACACUGGAACUGAGACACGGUCCAGACUCCUACGGGAGGCAGCAGUGGGGAAUAUUGGACAAUGGGCGCAAGCCUGAUCCAGCCAUGCCGCGUGUGUGAAGAAGGCCUUCGGGUUGUAAAGCACUUUCAGUAAGGAGGAAGCGUUGAGUGUUAAUAGUACUCAGCGUUGACGUUACUUACAGAAGAAGCACCGGCUAACUCUGUGCCAGCAGCCGCAGUAAUAC